UACGUAGGGCGCAAGCGUUGUCCGGAAUUAUUGGGCGUAAAGAGCUCGUAGGCGGUUUGUCGCGUCUGCUGUGAAAACCUAAGGCUCAACCUUGGGCUUGCAGUGGGUACGGGCAGACUAGAGUGCGGUAGGGGUGACUGGAAUUCCUGGUGUAGCGGUGGAAUGCGCAGAUAUCAGGGAGGAACACCGAUGGCGAAAGGCAGGUC
rnacentral:rRNA from 1 species